rnacentral:rRNA from 1 species
UUACACAUGCAAGUCGAACGGCAGCGCGGGGCAACCUGGCGGCGAGUGGCGAACGGGUGAGUAAUAUAUCGGAACGUACCCAAGAGUGGGGGAUAACGUAGCGAAAGUUACGCUAAUACCGCAUACGAUCUAUGGAUGAAAGUGGGGGAUCGCAAGACCUCAUGCUCCUGGAGCGGCCGAUAUCUGAUUAGCUAGUUGGUGAGGUAAAGGCUCACCAAGGCGACGAUCAGUAGCUGGUCUGAGAGGACGACCAGCCACACUGGAACUGAGACACGGUCCAGACUCCUACGGGAGGCAGCAGUGGGGAAUUUUGGACAAUGGGCGCAAGCCUGAUCCAGCAAUGCCGCGUGAGUGAAGAAGGCCUUCGGGUUGUAAAGCUCUUUUGUCAGGGAAGAAACGGUGGGAGCUAAUAUCUCUUGCUAAUGACGGUACCUGAAGAAUAAGCACCGGCUAACUACGUGCCAGCAGCCGCGGUAAUACGUAGGGUGCAAGCGUUAAUCGGAAUUACUGGGCGUAAAGCGUGCGCAGGCGGUUUUGUAAGUCUGUCGUGAAAGCCCCGGGCUCAACCUGGGAAUUGCGAUGGAGACUGCAAGGCUUGAAUCUGGCAGAGGGGGGUAGAAUUCCACGUGUAGCAGUGAAAUGCGUAGAGAUGUGGAGGAACACCGAUGGCGAAGGCAGCCCCCUGGGUCAAGAUUGACGCUCAUGCACGAAAGCGUGGGGAGCAAACAGGAUUAGAUACCCUGGUAGUCCACGCCCUAAACGAUGUCUACUAGUUGUCGGGGUUUUAAUUAACUUGGUAACGCAGCUAACGCGUG